AAAAUCCGUUGACUUUUNCAAAAAUCGUGAGGGUUCAAGUCCCUCUAUCC
rnacentral:tRNA from 1 species